ensembl:processed_transcript
AAAAGAAAAAAAAAACCCAUCCUGCACACCUGGGGACAGGAAAGAGGAUGACACCAAUCCUAUGAGAUCCAGACCCCACCUUUAUGCCCUCAUGGUGAGGCUCUGCUUUGAAAUCCAUACCAGCUUGAUGCUAGGACUUCACAUGGUUUCUCUGUAUAGCCCUGGCUGUCCUGGAACUCACUCUGUAGACCAGGCUGGCCUCGAACUCAGAAAUCCGCCUGCCUCUGCUUCCCGAGUGCUGGGAUUAAAGGCGUGCGCCACCACUGCCCGGCUAAGUAUUGAUAUUCAAUAAGGCACAAAUUUCGCGCCCUGACGAACCGAACGCUAAGUUUUCAGUCCCUGGAAGUGUCCACACGCACUCACCAAGAGCCUCAAAGGGCUUCCCCUUCCCGGUACGCAUCCCGCCUGCUCCUCAUCUGACCUCAUCCCACGCGACUACCACGAAGG